rnacentral:lncRNA from 1 species
CAGCAUCCAAGUGUAAGCUCCAGAUGGUUCCUAUGGCCUGCAAGACAAUUUGCUCCUCUUCUAUUUAUCAUCUUCCAGAUGCUCUAGAAAGACAACAAUGUUCUUGAUCUUUCCAAUCUGUUUUUUGUAAGAUGCGUUUGUGCAUCUUCUCCUCCCUGAUCUAAGACAUCACAAUAAGGCUGCUCGAUCUUAAACCCACAUCCAAUUCCUUGGUUUUUCUCGACAAGACACUGUAACUGGAUUGUUGUUCUUAAGGUGCAUGCUCAGGCUCGAUGAAUGCCCUGGAUGAAUUGGAGUAACCGCAAAGUACUCCUACAAAAAAAAAUGUUGACAGGAGCUUCACUAACAUGGACAUUUAUUGAUGCUAAAAAAACAUGGACAUUUAAAGUCUAUUAAAAAAUACAUUAUUUAGUAAUUCUAAAAUAAGAAAGUAAAUCAUAGACUAGCCCGUGCAUUACCGCAACCCUCUCUAGUUAGGACAUGUGCGACGUUAUGCACAGAUCGUCGCACCCAGACUACCCUAUAAUCCUGGAAAGAUUUUAGUUAGUCCUUCACCUCCUGAACAAGAUGCCCCAUAAGCAGAUAGAUCUUUCAUAUCGUCCUUCACCUCCUGAACAAAAUUGCAGUAUACGAGCGCAGCUUUCCUUGCCAACAGUGGCCUUUGUGCAAAACAGGGCACGAAGAUAAAUCUUCUGACAUGUGAGCAUGGAACAAGGUCACGGAGGCGGAGCUUGACAAACAAUUCGAGUCGGAGGCCACAGUGUUGGGCGGCAUACAGCACAGAAACAUCAUCAAGCUGCCCGGCUACAUCUCUGGAGUGGACACCAAGCUGCUGGUAUACGAGUAUAUGGUGAGGAUAAGCGCGCACAAAUUCCCCUUCAUGCUCUGAAGUAUCAUCACAAAUUCGAGAUUGAGAUCGGGUAGAAGUAUCACCGUGCAAGCGGAUAAUGUAAAGCAUCAGAACAUCACAAAUUCGAGAUUGACAUCAAAGUAUCAAUCACCAACACAGGGCCAACAAUGUAACACACAGGUACACUACCUACUUUUGUCACAACAGUAGGCGGUGAUUGAUACUUUGAUGUCAAUCUCGAAUUUGUGAUGUUCUGAUGUUUUACAUUAUCCGCUUGCACGAUGAUACUUCUAGCCGAUGCAAGCCUCUCAAUCUCGAAUUCUUGAUGAUACUUCAAAGCAUGAAGGGGAAUUUGUGCGCACUUAUCCUUACCAUAUAUUCGUAUACCAGCAGCUUGGUGUCCACUCUGGAGAUGUAGCCGAGCAGCUUGACGGUGUUUCUCUGCCGUAUGCCGCCCAACACCGUGGUCUCCGACUCUAAGUCUCUAACUGUUUGUCAAGCUCCGCCUCCGUCCUUGCUCCAUGCCCUCAUGUCAGAAGAUUUAUCUUCAUGCCCUGUUUGGCACAAAGGCCACUGUUGGCAAGGAAGCUACGCUCGUACGCUGCAAUUUGCAGCGACGGUGACACCUCGCCCAUGAGGUUGUUGCAGGACAGGUUUAGCGCACCGGAGUUCAGGUUGUUGAAGUCCAGAGGUAUCCCGCCGGUGAGCUCGAUCUGGAGGAACAAGAAGAUUGUUUUGGACAUUUUCGUGUGCUGUGAACAAAACGAAACCCUCGGAUGAGAGCUCUGAGUGACACAGGCAAACGAGUUGGGCAUGGUGACUGUGGUACUCGAGUUGGGAAUGGUCACUGUGGUGUGAGUUGGGAAUGGUGACUGCAGUUGAUAGGAGGGCCAUAUAUAUAGACAGUUUGUGUGACUGCAAAACACAUGGUAUCUCUCCUUUGUGCGCUGGGUGCAGGCACUUGUUCCAUCAACAUCAGACUAUUCUGGUUCUUCCCUUGAUGGUGAGGAUAAUUUAUCGAAGAGAAUGCGAUUGGACUGUCUUCAAAAGCACAAAAAAUUGUUCAGGCAGGCAGUUAUCAGGGCUAAUGAUCACAGAGAAAAAAGAUGGUGAAAUUAUUGCCACCAGAUCGACACGUUCGUCCAUAACAGUACUCGGUUAAUCUGAAGAACAACGGUUCCAAGUUGACAUGCUUUUACAUGCAGGAGUUACAGGAUAAUGCUCUGAAGUUUUAAAGAAAAUGGCAUUCUUGUUCUGAUCGAGCAUCUUAUCUCAGCCCGAAUCAAAUCUACUGAAUGGCAUAAACGAACUUUCUAUCAGACCAUUCAUGAUGCUACAAGUUUAAGCGAGGAAUUUGGUUCUGGGAGCUGAACCAUCACCUCAUGUGCCUUGCUGUCAAAAAGACAGGAAAAUGUAGCAAACUGAUAAAGCAUUGCAGGAGAAGAUAUUUUGGAGCAUAAAAAACUUUACAAAGUCGAGUCGUGGUAUACUAGUUACCUAGGGGCACUGAUGAUUGCAUCGCUCUCUUUCUGCGCCGGUGCAGGCAUUUGUUCCUCCAACGUCAGACUGUUCU